rnacentral:rRNA from 1 species
GGUACAGUCAACCGCCCGGGGUAUUGGCCCGAGCAGCUUUCUUCCCGGUCGACAGGAGUUUACGACCCGAGGGCCUUCAUCCUCCACGCGGCGUUGCUUCAUCAGGGUUUCCCCCAUUGCGAAAAAUUCCCCA